rnacentral:rRNA from 1 species
CGUCUAGGCGGACCGGUAAGUCGGGUAUGAAAGCCCUGGGCUCAACUCAGGAAUUGUGCCCGAUACUCCCGGUUUUGAGUGCAGAAGGGGAGAGUGGAACUCCUGGUGUAGCGGUGAAAUGCGUUGAUACCAGGAUGAACGCCGGUGGCGAAAGCGGCUCUCUAGUCUGUUACUGACGCUGAAGCGCGAAAGCUAGGGGAGCGAACG